UUACGGUCAAAUCACGCUGAAAACACCGGUUCUAGUUCGAUCACCGAAGUUAAGCAUCGUAGAGCCAGGUCAGUACUUAGAUGGGGGGACCGCUUGGGAACACCA
rnacentral:rRNA from 1 species